AUGCCGCCGGAGCAGCGUUCACCGGCGACGAGAUGUGUUCCCGUCGCGCUCGUCCUCAUCCGAGGAUCCGCCAGGGAGCUGCGUCUCGGGCGCGACGCCGUUCGUCAGUCCCAGCGCAGUUCGACCGCCCGUGCAAGGCAAAGGCGGAGGAGUGGCAGGCGCGACGGCCCGACAGUGUCCGCGUCGACAACCACAUCGCUGGCUUCGGCUUCAACAACCGCAGGGGUUGGAGACGGCAGCGCCGCGGCCUCGUUGUCGUCGUCGUCGAUUAUGACGACCUCGUCCGGCUGGCCGGUGCUCAAGUCCCGGCACGGCGGUCGAUGGCGGCCAUGGUGCGGCCGUAAAGCCUCUCCGUGA
rnacentral:rRNA from 1 species